GGCUUGAGCCACUUGUUUUGGGCGUCAAUCUACUGGGUUUUGUUGUUAAAAAACUGCUGGUAUCAGGGUUUUUGCAUCAGCAGAUUUCCUGCAAACUCAGCGCCUGACUUGUUUGUUUUGUUACCGUCGCCCAAUUAGUCGACUAAGUAAAUCCAUCUGGAAAUUGCUUGAUUGCCAUCCCUUGGCUAAAAAUAGCGAGCAAACUCACAGCCAACACCCAGCCGAAGAGAAAACCGCACAAGCCAAUGUACAGUUGGCUUAGGUUAAGUCCCAUAUUGAUCCCUUCAGUUCACCCUAAUAUUUGGGGUUCCUGCCGAAAACAUUAAACACAGAGACUAAUCAUGUGUUCCCUCGUUUCAUACACAGCAGGGGAUAAAGCAUUCAUUACCAACUGGGUAAUGAAUAUGGUUUUGCAAUAGUUUUUGAAUAUUCAAAAGCUGCAUUUGGAGGGUUUACACCAUCAACCAUUCAUAGUCAUGAAUGCCUGAUUUUAUCAGCGUCAGGAAAUCGAGUGAUUGAUCACAAUGGCAAAGGUCAAAGGAGCAGGUUGGGCCUUUAUCAGUGACCUUUCGGUACAUUAUAAGUGUGGCUCUGAGGGCUAAAAUUAGACUGGCAUUAUUCGCCUGCUGCUGCAGGCAAUCGAAGCCUUCUUGAAACACUCUGGGCUUAUCUAUGGCACGCCAUUCACAUCCAGGCAUUAAGUUGUUAAGCGGCUUUUUAAGUAAACAACACAGCAGAAGAAAACCCGUCUUCUUGAGAUUAAUUUUUAACGACUGCUGUUUGAUAAGACAAUAUCUGGUCUGGGCCUCGUAAAGGCUUUGUUGAAAUCGACCUUUCCACCUGCCUGAACGGGCACGUGCAAGGUGUUUGCACCAGACGGCCAAGUGAUUUCGUUCAUUUUCUGUCGGUUGUUUGGGUUUAAAGCAGAAUAAAUAGCCGAAAAUGACCACUGAAA